GGGUGGAGUUAUGAUAGGUCUAUGGUACAGUUUCCGGCAACACAACAACAGCCCGAAGGUAUCAAAACACGGCAAGUUAUAUGGACGAGAACACAUCGGUGGCGGCCCGUGGCCUGACAAUGUAGGCGCUGCACAUUGGAAGAUACUUCAAAAGGGGAGCUUCUCAAGCAAUACCAAGUCAAGCACAGUAUUUAUGGAUGUGGCUGAGCUGAACCAAAACCAACUAAUCACCAAUUAAAGAAGAGAGACAGCCCAGUCAUUAAGGACUUGAUGUGGAGAACUUUUGCACAUAGAGGAACAUACAACAUACAAAUCAGGGCUCGACAAUAACGAUGUACCGAUGGCCCGGGGCAAGUUAAAACAAAAUUCGGGCAAGUAAAUCUAAUCAGUGAUAUUCCCGUCGGGCAAGUGCACUACUGCCAAGAGGUAUUUUUUAAAGCGGUUCUUGUUGGGUGUUGGUAAAACACGGAAUGCGUAAUUCCGGUGGUAAUUUGCAAAGCAAUCCUUGCAAUGGACCAAUCAGAAUCGUUUAUUUAGACCGCGGUCCGUAAUCCACAGUCCGCGUUUUACCCACACCCGUUGUUCGCGAUCAACCAAUCAGCGAUCGUUUGACUAUGAAAACAUCCAUCAUGGCGUCGCUGCCAACAUCGUCUAAUUCUGAAGGAAACGAAAAAAGUGAUGAAGCAGUGCCUCCUAAACAAGUAUUUUAUUAGCGGCAGCAAAUCAAAUGAUGGCACAGGUGAGUGAAUCACAUUGCUGUGACAAUUUGAAGUGGUCACAAUGAAACACCACCCAUUAGAUCCAAUACCAAGUGCUGAUUUUGCACAAGCUACAAAAUCUAGCGCUUCCAUUUCUCUGUGGAUUUUUCUCACCUUUGCUUCACAAAUUAUUGUUUGACCAUUGAGCAUUUUUUUUCUGGAUUAAAAACACUUUACUAGUACACAAAUGUGUCUAUUCAAUAAUGUUUCAUUGUGGUGCACAACUUAUAAAUAUCACUGCUUACUACGACUACCAUGUGUAAGGUAUUAUUUAUUAUAUUAUUGUAUUUAUUUGAGAUUCUCAUGUGAUGCCACAAAAAAAUACAUGAUAUCAUUAUGGCAGUCUUUUCAUUUUACAUGGGGCAAGUUCGGGCAAGUAGUUCUCACCUUAAGGAUUCCCUAUGGGCAAGUCAUUUUGGUUUUUAAUGUAGAGCCCUGCAAAUGAGCAUCAGUGACAUGAAGCACAGGUGGCCUACCUUGUUUAAUGUCUCACAGGUGAGUAUUUGGAUCUUUUGUGUUAAACACAUUAUGGACUGUAAACAACUACUGUAUGUUUCACAGUUAUACUUAAGUAUGCACUUCACUUUUUGUUGUCACUGGUUCUUUUGUCUCUUCUUUCAUAUCUCUCUUUCAGGAGAGGAAGGUGCCAGAAGGGAGGUGAAAGGACACCAAAACUGAUGUCCUUGUUUCCAGCAAGGAAAAGCGUUGUCAGAGCAACAAUUCAAGCACAGACCAACAUUCUACUUCAGAUUGAAUCCAACGUGGGCAGACAAGGGACGUUGUCAUCCGAUGCCUUAUUGACUAUCUUGCAGGACAUGCCAGUGCCCUAUUCCAGGACUUUGAGGGUGCCGGGGAUGGAUCAACCAGCAUUCAAGAAAAGAUGGCAUAGUGAUUGAGAGCAGCACCGUCCACAGCACUCUUGGGGAUCUUAGCAAGGCCUGCUACUAUCUGAUGGGACUGACGUAUGCACGAGACCUGCGGUUCCCCAAGACCCUGUCAUCCAGUUUUAUGGUGUUCCAGAAAGUACUGCUGGAUCUGGAUUUAUGGAAACCUUUCAAAGACUUUGCCAACGAAAUGUUGUUGCCUGGCUCCCUUAAAGUGCAUGGUUGUCUAUAUGUGCCCUGUGAUGACACCCGUGACUGUGCGACACAAACGGACGACGAAAAAAACCCGGAAGACAGGAUAAACGUCCAGAAAAACCACGUCCGGAAAAAAGACAAAAAAACAAAUAAACAUCCCCCCUUCCACAAACAUGUUAGGUUAAUUGGCGACUCCAAAUUGUCCAUAGGUAUGAAUGUGAGUGUGAACGGUUUUUGUCUGUAUUAUUAUUAAUAAAUUGUUGUUAUGGUGCGUGCUUUGGAUUGUUGAAUUUUUGUAUGUUACGUAAUUAAACAUGUUUUGUUUUGUUCGUACGCGACUUUGUUUAAAUCUUUUUAGCUU